CUCAGCCAGAUCUUGAGAGCAUCAUUGUCCGACGAGAGGCCGUUUCCCAAGCACCAGAUCUCAUCUAUCGGAAGCUGCAUAUGGCUCAUUAAAAGGACAGAGUUAGGGAGGGGCAACAGCAGGGCUCUCAGGCCAGAUGCCAUCAUCUCCUCCCUCCCCCUUUUUUUCUUUUUCAGCCCUUCCAAUGUUUUCCUUUCUUAGUUUAGCCUUCUCUCACCCACUCAGUAAAACCUAUAGACCAGUAAUAACUACCACUUAUCAAGCACGCACUCUGUGCCAGGUAGAAUUGUACAUGAUCUCCGAUCCUCAAGACAACCUAGAAAAGCAUUCUAAUCCCAUGGUACAGGUAAGGGAACUGACUCUGGGAGGUUAAGGGGCCUCCCUGAGUGCAGGAGCAGGAGUGGGAAGCCAGGUCUGUCUGGCUCUUACCACUGUGUCACUUAAACUCGGGGCUGUUCACAUGGUACUUAGCACUUUGCAUGGUCUUAGUCCAGCUAAGGGAAGAAGGUUCUUCCCUACCCAACCUUUAUUACAAGGGAAAUGCUGCGUUCCCAUUUAAAGUUCUGAAAUUUGGAAAAGCCCUAUUUCCAUAUCAUUUUUCUUGUUAUCCCCAUAAGCCAAACAACCAAAAUUUAAAUCUAGGGACACCCACAAUAUGCCCCAGCUUCUUACAACCCUGACCAAGAAUGCAGUGACCAAGAGCUUUUUUUCUGCUGGCUCCAGCAUUAGGCUGUCUCACCCUCUACUGUCCGCUAUAACAGUAAACCAUGCCCUGCAUCCAGUAA